AAAUAAAAAUAAACAUAAACAUUAUUUUCCGAGGAGGGAUCUUGCCCAAAUCAAGAUCGUGCAUAAACAUAUAUUAUCCUCUGAGUUGCGGGUGGAAAAUGAGGAUGGAAUAUCCAUUCUUUUCUAUCUUCAAAAAAUCUUUCCAGGCGAGAAUCUUUGUUUUCCUCCAGAUGAAUGGGAGAAUUUCUUGGAGCGGAUUGGCAGAGCAGAGUCUACCGGGGAUGCAGAUCUUCAAGAAAAUUCCAGUGAUUGAUUCCUUGGAGCUUAGGAUCUGGGCAUCUUAUCGUGGACAGACUCUAGCUGGGACUGGUUAGAAUUCUUUUAAUUUUGAAUUCGGGAGAAGAGGAUGCACAAAGUGGUGGAUGAUUAUUCUCAGACAAACUCUUCUACAGCACAAGGUUUUGAGUUGUCACGUGAAGCACGGGCACGAGCAGAUUUGAAGUUCACUUGUCAUCUCCUCCUCCGUGAGUCAAAGUUUAUGACCUGCUGAAUUUUCCUGGACAAUUUCAACAAAAUGGAACUCUUUUAUUUGUUUUUGUUUUUGUUUUAGGAGUUUCUCAAUGUUCAUAUAGUGUUUUACAUAUUUUUAAAAUAUUUUUUAUUUAGUUUUAAAUUAAUUUUUAAAAAAUUUUAUUUGAA